CCUUGCCAGCCCGCUCAGAAACUUAAAUGAAUUGACGGGGCCCGCACAAGCGGAGGAGCAUGUGGUUAAUUCGAUGAUACGCGAGGAACCUUACCUGGGCUCGAACGUAAGAUGACUGUAGGUGAAAGCUUACAUCUCUUCGGAGCAUUUUACGAGGUGCUGCAUGGUUGUCGUCAGCUCGUGCCGUGAGGUGUCGGGUUAAGUCCCAUAACGAGCGCAACCCCUACCUUUAGUUGCCAUCAGGUUAAGCUGGGGACUCUAAAGGAACUGCCUACGCAAGUAGUGAGGAAGGCGGGGAUGACGUCAAAUCAGCACGGCCCUUACGUCCAGGGCUACACACGUGCUACAAUGGCCGAUACAGAGGGCAGCUACCUGGUGACAGGAUGCAAAUCUCCAAAGUCGGUCUCAGUUCGGAUCGGAGUCUGCAACCCGACUCCGUGAAGUUGGAUUCGCUAGUAAUCGCGCAUCAGCCAUGGCGCGGUGAAUACGUUCCCGGGCCUU
rnacentral:rRNA from 1 species